rnacentral:rRNA from 1 species
UGGGGAAUAUUGGACAAUGGGGGGAACCCUGAUCCAGCCAUGCCGCGUGUGUGAAGAAGGCCUUAUGGUUGUAAAGCACUUUAAGCGAGGAGGAGGGUACUGGUAUUAAUACUACCAGGUACUGGACGUUACUCGCAGAAUAAGCACCGGCUAACUCUGUGCCAGCAGCCGCGGUAAUACAGAGGGUGCGAGCGUUAAUCAGAUUUACUGGGCGUAAAGCGUGCGUAGGCGGCUAAUUGAGUCGGAUGUGAAAUCCCCGAGCUUAACUUGGGAAUUGCAUUCGAUACUGGUUAGCUAGAGUGUGGGAGAGGAUGGUAGAAUUCCAGGUGUAGCGGUGAAAUGCGUAGAGAUCUGGAGGAAUACCGAUGGCGAAGGCAGCCAUCUGGCCUAACACUGACGCUGAGGUACGAAAGCAUGGGGAGCAAACAGG